rnacentral:rRNA from 1 species
UACGAAGGGGGCUAGCGUUGCUCGGAAUCACUGGGCGUAAAGGGUGCGUAGGCGGGUCUUAAGUCAGGGGUGAAAUCCUGGAGCUCAACUCCAGAACUGCCCUUGAUACUGAGGAUCUUGAGUUCGGGAGAGGUGAGUGGAACUGCGAGUGUAGAGGUGAAAUUCGUAGAUAAUUCGCAAGAACACCAGUGGCGAAGGCGGCUCACUGGCCCGAUACUGACGCUGAGGCACGAAAGCGUGGGGAGCAAACAGG